UACGAGGGACCUAGCGUUGUUCGGAAUCAUUGGGCGUAAGGGUGCGUACGGCGGUCAGCCACAAGUCAGUUGUGAAAUCUCCGGGCUUAACUCGGAAAGGUCAACUGAUACUGUGCGACUAGAGUGCGGAAGGGGCAACUGGAAUUCUCGGUGUAGCAGUGAAAUGCGUAGAUAUGUGGAGGAAUACCGAUGGCGAAGGCAGCCCCCUGGGAUAACACUGACGCUCGAUGCACGAAGCUGGGGAGCAACAGG
rnacentral:rRNA from 1 species